CGGGGGCAUCAUGCAGUCGAGCGGAUCUCUUCGGAGGUCAGCGGCGGACGGGUGAGUAACACGUGGGCAACCUGCCUGUAAGACUGGGAUAACUCCGGGAAACCGGAGCUAAUACCGGAUACUAUGUCAAACCGCAUGGUUUGACAUUCAAAGACGGUUUCGGCUGUCACUUACAGAUGGGCCCGCGGCGCAUUAGCUAGUUGGUGAGGUAAUGGCUCACCAAGGCGACGAUGCGUAGCCGACCUGAGAGGGUGAUCGGCCACACUGGGACUGAGACACGGCCCAGACUCCUACGGGAGGCAGCAGUAGGGAAUCUUCCGCAAUGGACGAAAGUCUGACGGAGCAACGCCGCGUGAGUGAUGAAGGUUUUCGGAUCGUAAAACUCUGUUGUCAGGGAAGAACAAGUGCCGGAGUAACUGCCGGCACCUUGACGGUACCUGACCAGAAAGCCACGGCUAACUACGUGCCAGCAGCCGCGGUAAUACGUAGGUGGCAAGCGUUGUCCGGAAUUAUUGGGCGUAAAGCGCGCGCAGGCGGUUUCUUAAGUCUGAUGUGAAAGCCCCCGGCUCAACCGGGGAGGGUCAUUGGAAACUGGGAAACUUGAGUGCAGAAGAGGAGAGUGGAAUUCCACGUGUAGCGGUGAAAUGCGUAGAGAUGUGGAGGAACACCAGUGGCGAAGGCGACUCUCUGGUCUGUAACUGACGCUGAGGCGCGAAAGCGUGGGGAGCGAACAGGAUUAGAUACCCUGGUAGUCCACGCCGUAAACGAUGAGUGCUAAGUGUUAGAGGGUUUCCGCCCUUUAGUGCUGCAGCUAACGCAUUAAGCACUCCGCCUGGGGAGUACGGUCGCAAGACUGAAACUCAAAGGAAUUGACGGGGGCCCGCACAAGCGGUGGAGCAUGUGGUUUAAUUCGAAGCAACGCGAAGAACCUUACCAGGUC
rnacentral:rRNA from 1 species